UACGUAGGGUGCAAGCGUUAAUCGGAAUUACUGGGCGUAAAGCGCGUGUAGGCGGCUUUGCAAGUCGGAUGUGAAAUCCCACGGCUCAACCGUGGAAGUGCAUCCGAAACUGCAUCGCUCGAGUCUCGGAGAGGAAGGUGGAAUGCUUGGUGUAGAGGUGAAAUUCGUAGAUAUCAAGCAGAACACCUGCGGCGAAGGCGGCCUUCUGGACGAUGACUGACGCUGAGACGCGAAAGCGUGGGGAGCAAACAGG
rnacentral:rRNA from 1 species